UACGGAGGAUGCGAGCGUUAUCCGGAUUUAUUGGGUUUAAAGGGUGCGCAGGCGGAUUUUUAAGUCAGCGGUCAAAUCGUGGGGCUCAACCCCAUCCAGCCGUUGAAACUGGGGAUCUAGGGUGUGCGAGAGGUAUGCGGAAUGCGUGGUGUAGCGGUGAAAUGCAUAGAUAUCACGCAGAACCCCGAUUGCGAAGGCAGCAUACCGGUGCACAACUGACGCUCAGGCACGAAAGCGUGGGUAUCGAACAGG
rnacentral:rRNA from 1 species